rnacentral:rRNA from 1 species
GACGAACGCUGGCGGCGCGCCUAAUACAUGCAAGUCGUACGGGACACCCUUCGGGUGUCAGUGGCGGACGGGUGAGUAACACGUGGGUGACCUGCCCUGCAGUGGGAAUAACUCUGGGAAACCAGAGCUAAUACCGCAUACGCUUAGUGCAUCAUAGCAUUAAGUAAAGAGUAAUACGCUGCAGGAAGGGGCCUGCGCCGGAUUAGCUAGUCGGUCGGGGUAAUGGCCACCGAGGCGACGAUCCGUAGCUGGUCUGAGAGGACGACCGAGCCACACUGGGACUGACGACACGGCCCAGGACUCCUACGGGAGGCAGCAGUAAGGAAUAUUCCACAAUGGGCGCAAGCCUGAUGGAGCGACGCCGCGUGAGCGAAGAAG